GGGGAAACCGGAAGUAAACACUCUGUUGAAGCUUCGAGUGAGUAAUGGUAAUGUGCUAAUGAAGCAAGAAAUAGUUCAUAGAUAUGACUGAACACCGCUGUUCCUGCGUCCAUGCAAGGAUGCCUACACGCUAUCUGCAGUUCAUCUUGUGCACUUCAAGGAAGCAUGCAAGAGAAGGCCUCAGGAUUGGCUGGCGACCAGUCCAGGGUGUACCCCGCCUGUCUCCGAAGUCAGCUGGGAUAGGUUCCAGCAUACCCCGCGAGCCUAGACGAUGGAUGGAUUCCUGUACCUCCUGUGAUUCCUGCUGGAUCCUGGAGUCUUCCUGAUCUCCUGAACAUGUGGCCAACAUGCUAACCACUAGGUCAACGUGCAGCCCGUAUUUCAAGUCUUUUUACAAUAUUUACUCAGGAGAUAACUCCAAAGAUACCUAGAGGGAUACACUGCAGUCCUCUACAGCCAUGCAUGACCCGAUUAGCUGCUUCUUACAGGGAUCAGACACUGUUAACACACCAUGAAUGCUAAACCACGGCGGAUCCUAUGGUUGCAGGAAUUCCCGGAGCUCAUGCAACUUCGGCAUCCUGAGGAUACAAAACGGUGUAAUGGACCAAACCGAAUACAGUACCACGUGGUGGAAAUGCGGCAAAAGUAACUCCAGAAAAAAGGUGUCUACGUGAGGUAAGACGUUCAGGUUCAGGUUGUCUUCGAAAAUGUUUUGCCACUCAUCCAAGCAGGCUUCUUGCUCGAAGACUAGAUGUGGCAACUCUAAUCCAAGGGAAGGGUAUAGGUAAGUAUUUAUUCUGUAAGGUAGAGGCACACACCAACCAAGAUUGAUUUCACUCUUUUGGGGACACAAAACAACAGUUAAGAUACAGUGAAGUGAGGCGUCUGACUAGUUUGGGUGGAAUCACCUUCGUUAGCAUUCCAUUCAGUCGUAACAAUGGGCAUGGAUGUACCUGACGACUAAAAGUGGCUGUGUCGUGUUUAUUUAUUUGAGGCUAAAUGUUUGAAUCUUUUCGGAAGGGAUAUACGGACAGCAUUGUAUGUGUGGGAGAGGUAGUGCCGUAGACUUCCCCCUGUGUUCAGAGAUGGCUUUUCAACCUUGACAUAGAUGGCUUCACUCACUCCUCUUUCAAAGCGUCUUCUCUGUCCAGAAUAUGUACAUUUUUGUCCUCAAAAGAGUGCUGUUUCUCUUUUGAAGUGCGGGGACAGCGGAGUUCUGACCUGAAGAGUUAUCCCGUCCGUGUUGUUUACUUGUUAAAGUAGACUCAAACGGUGUCUAUUGGCGUGGAGGCAAGGACUUGACAAUUUACAAUAGCUCUGACUGCUCCUACACUUUUUCAUCAUGUUGCUAUCAAGUCACAGCGUCGGUAUCUGUGUCUUGGCAGUACUGCAAUGUGAAGUAACGCUCCUUUGACUGUCUUUCACGCUCUACAGUGUCUAGUGCCUUUUGAUUGACGCAGAACACAGUUCAUGCAAUUACAUCUUUGGAAGGUUCAGGUCAAAGCUAAUACGUGCCCCGUGUGUGUGUGGGCAGAUGUGAAUGAGUCACUUUGUGAGUCAUAAACUGAAUUAGUUUUGACAUAAAUUGCUGUUAAUGCUAUUUGCUCUGUGGGUGACAGAUUACAUCUGAAGCUGCAAACUGGUUUCUUUACUAUAUUAAAAAUACAAAUGUAUAGAAAUACAUGUUGGGUCAUAUUGAAUUUAAAAGAAUAACCCUAACCCUUUUUAUUCGGUAAAAUACAUGACAAGGUGUCAAGCAAAAUGUAGCAAUCUCUGACCACGUGGUCAUUUUUAACAAAUAUAUUUCACAACACAGCAGCAACAGAACCAGUGUUGUAAUAGUGGUAAGGAGCAAACUUGUCAGCCAGCAUUAAUAGUGCUGAAGAGUUUAUUGUAUAAUAAUGAAAUAAUGCGCCAAGUGUCACACACGAGUUUCACACCAAUAGCUCAGUAUAGCGCAGCCAACAUUCUAAAGCGCAUGCAGAGGUAGAUAAAGCUACUGGAGGUAGCUCACUCAUUAUAGCAUAAUUUCUGGUGUAUAAGCCGCUACUUUUUUCUCAUGCUUUGAACCCUGUGGCUUGUAGAGUGAUGCGGCUAAUUUAUGGCUAAAAAUGGCAUUUCCCAUGAUGCUCAGAGUGCAGCUUCAGGACGUGGGUGAGUGAAGUGAAAGCUAAUAUCACGUUUUGAUGUCUUAUGCAGCGAUCUCUGACACAUCUCAAGUAAGUUUGAUCAAGUGUGGAAUUACUACAGCUUGUUUGGGCUACUCCACUAUCUCUAACGGGUUUCGAAAGGCUUGACUACUGCGUGAUGAAGAGCUAAAGCUAAAGUGACACAAAGAGUGCCAACGAAAAAAAGAGCGAGAGACUGACAAAGUGUGUGUGACGAAGGAAUUGUGAGGCUGUUCAAAUGUGAUGCUGAAGAAGACAAUUUUUGUUCCCAGGAGAAGGACGGCGGCGAUGGAUGACUUUUCCUGUGAAAAGAAAAAAACUUUGGCUGCCAAGAUGGUGGAUCGUAUAUCUAAGCUCACCAGAAGGUGAUCAGAGUUUUACAACAAAGUAUCAGCACUUUUCCUGGAAAAGGAAAGGCUGCAUGUACUUCAUAUACACAUAAAAGGAAGUUUGGAUAAGAAGAAGGCGGCUCCUGUUACUUUCCUGAUAGGAGUGUGGGAGGGAAACCUCAGGUGUGUCUCUCAUGAAGCAAGCCAAAAAAUGUGAGUAAAGAGGAGGAAGCGCACACCCACAGACGAGCCGAUGAUCGAUUGGCUCUGUCACACACUUGAGUGUAACCCGCACUGCCCGCACCGGGGCUCGAACACAGGACCUUCGGAAUGGGAGACGAGAGCGCGGACCACACGGCCAAAAGCCCGGACAGUCGACCGCGUGUUCAGCGCAGCUCUCAAGGCAGAGCGAUUUCUCUGCUGUGAGACGGACGGCGUCACGCAGUGACCUCGGCCAGCCGGAGGUAUCCUCGCGGCGCCUGGCAGGCACUCUCCAGCAGACAGCGACGUUAAAUGUUCCCUCUGCUUGACAAGCGCCUUACCAAAGCUUUGGCAAUAAAUUAGAUCAAAGACUAUUGGUUUUAUGGACAAUCUGUGUUAAUAGAAAACUCUCAAAACACUAAGUAGUUGUUUCUUGCUGUUCAGUGGAGAGUAAACGGUUUAUAUCACUGAUCCUCAGCAACUGAUGUCACUGUGCCGCAACGUUAAGUUGCCGAUGUUUGGCAACACAGCUCAUGUCCGUGGUUUCAGCACAUGGAAGCCCAGUUCUAACUGUGAGGAACAACGCAGACAUGACAAAGUAUUACCACACAUUGGCCGCACUCGACCUCCACUUUCUCUCAUACCGUAGGACCGUAGGACUGUACGACGGACUAUUUAAGCACUUUUGAAACUUUUUCAUACCGUUGUAAACCUUGAAACCAGAAGAAUACUGCGUAUCACAAUUUGAAUGUGUCCCCUUAUGCCUUAUAUUUGUAUUUUUGUUCAUUUAGCAAUUUUUAUGCUUGAAAAUGCUUAAUUUGGGCAAAAAAUAUGCUUAAGUAUGCACAUUUUUUUUAUUAAUAGGCAAUAUUAAACCACAAAACAGCAUGAUUUAUUAACAUUUCUGAAAAAACGUGAUACUGAAGAGUCAAGUGGCAAAAUUCGAACCGUGAUGUGUAACUUAAAUUAAUCCUGUUUCAUUUUGCAUGAGCACAGAGACUCAAGAAAGAUUGAGAGCGACGCGUUAGCCAAAGUGCAAGCAAAAUCCCAGACUAACGUUUGUGUUUUGUUUUUUACGUCGGUCGACUCUU